rnacentral:rRNA from 1 species
UACAGAGGGUGCAAGCGUUAAUCGGAAUUACUGGGCGUAAAGCGUGCGUAGGUGGUUCUUUAAGUCAGGUGUGAAAUCCCCGGGCUCAACCUGGGAACUGCAUUUGAUACUGACGGUCUGGAGAUCGGGAGAGGUUGGUGGAAUUCCGAGUGUAGAGGUGAAAUUCGUAGAUAUUCGGAGGAACACCAGAAGCGAAGGCGGCCAACUGGCCCGAUACUGACGCUGAGGCGCGAAAGCGUGGGGAGCAAACAGG